UUUUUUAAAAAGGAGAUCCUCAAUCAUCAUUUUUUACCCACGCCAUAUCAAGAGGUGUCAUAAGGUCCACCAUCAGUAACAUCCUGGAAGGUUCCCAUUUGGUUCGAUCUUAGAAAGAUCUAAGAAACUUGAAAUAGGGAGAGAGGCUUAAGUAGGUGGGACUUCAUAAAUGCCAGCGAUAUACUGCUCCACUUGUAUGUUUUAUAUCUUGGAGUUUCUCCCGUAAGAUUUCAUUUGGGCCAAAUGAAGGCUUUUUUACUCCUUAAAAAUAAAGACAGUAUGGAAAGCACCCCCUAAUUUUAUAUACAAGGAAACUGAAGCCCAGAGAGGGAAGGUGAUGCAUCCAAAUUCAAGCAGCAGACAAAUCUCCCAGCCCAGGCCUCUCGUUAGAUGUUCCGUGCACUACUCAGUCAUGCACCUGGUUAUCCUUGAAACCUCCUACCCAGGAUCCUCCAGGAAGGUCCAUCACCUGCAUUCUGGUGCUGCUUCACCCUGAAGUGGAAGCUGACAUCAUUCUGCGUGUACAAGGAGCCAAGGAGAAAGUCCCAUUAGAGAUGCGCUUGCUGUGUAUCCCAUGCUCCCUGAUGUUGCCCCUUUAACCUCCUGGCUGAGGGCCUGUGCCAGGGAGCCCUGUAGCAGGAGGAAGCCACUGAAAUCAGGGACUGAGCAGUCCUGUUGAGACCCUACAUGGGCUAAAAAGCCUAUACAUUGAACACUAAUCAUUUUUAACGUUUGUUGCACCUGCUGCUAAUCUUUAUUUGCCUUCAGUGAAACCUGGGAGCCUCAGAGGGACACAAAAGAUCCCUGUCGUUCAGGUCCAGGGGCGCAGGUGGAGAACCACUAGAAUCUAGGUGUGUAGGACUGUUUUGGUAAAUUGAAGGUUCCCUCUCAACACUUACCCAGAUAUCCACUUAGGAAAAGAGGGGGAUGGAAGGACUAGAACUUUGAGGGGAACGUAGUGGGAACAGAUUUUUCAGAGCUUAGAGUUGCUGAUCCAUAGCCCUUAUGUUAAUGUUCGACCCUGGCACUUGAGCUUUGUGCUACUGCUCCCCAAACUUUCAGGAUAAGGCUUAGCUCCAUCAGGAACAUUUUGGUCAAGAUUUGGCCAGGUUGGGCAUGGGGAGAGGGUCUGGUGGGACAUAGGGAGAUAAAUACCCCCAUAAAUACCUUUGAUCUGAGACCUUAUUCUUUUGCCCUUGCCUCUGCUAAGAUCUCUUUUUAGUCUCUUGAGUUUGACAUUUAGAACAAGGCUGUUGAGUAUUAUGGAGUGUAUUCAGAACUCAGUUGAGGGUGAAUAAUCUUUCAUGAGUGCAUACUGUAUUUGCUGACUCUGGCUUACAGAGAUGGCUGAGACCUAGUACAUUCCUGGGAGUUUCCACUGUGGCUCAGCGGGUUAAGAACCUGACAUAGUGUCCGAAAGGAUGUGGGUUCGAUCCCUGGCCUCGCUCAGUGGGUUAAGGAUUCGGAGUUAGCACAAGCUGCAGUGUAGUUCAAAGACAAUGGCCUGGAUCCCAAAUUGCUGUGGCUAUGGCAUCGGCCAGCAGCUGCAGCUCCGAACUUCCAUAUGUUGCAGGUGUAGCUAUAAAAGGAAAAAAGGCAAAAAGACCUAGUACCUUGUUGAAGGUGUAUAGUCUGAUAAUUUAAUGAGAAAUAAUGCACAAGGCCUCACUCAAUGUUACUAAUUCCUUGCUCCUUUCCAGGCAACCUGGUAAUGUUUUAUCUGUGUUUGGUCAUUUAGUUGUUGCAAAAACCACAACGAAGUUACCAUUAGUAACUUGAUUUUCAGAGUUCCUGCUGUGGUGCAGGGGGUUAAGGACCCAGCAUUGUCUCUACUGUAGCACAGGUUUGAUCCCUGGCCCAGCGUAGUGGGUUAAGGAUCUGGAAUUGCUGCACGUGCAGGUGACACAGGGUGCCUUGCGUCUGGAAUUGCUAUAGGUCCCAGCUGUGGCUUGGAUUCAGUCCCUGGCCCAGGGACUUCCAUAUGCUGCAGGUGCGGCCGGAAAAGAAAAGAGAGGGGGGGAAAAAAAAAACCUUGAUUUUUACAGAUGGUUCAUGGAGCUCAGAGGUCCUGUAACUUGCUUGCCUGAGGUUAUAAAGCUACUAAUAAGUGUUGGAAGCCAGGAUUUGACACUAGGCAGCUGUUUCCUUGUUCACUCUUGCCACCACACUCUAUCUACUGCUUUCCAUUGUGGAAAAGACAGACUCAUAACCCAUUGCAGUACCGUGAGCACAGCCUCCGUACCUGCGGUGCCAGUACAGAGGCUGUCAUGAAUGGGGAGGAGAGCAGGGAAAUCAGGGAAGACUUCCGAGAAGAGGAGACACCUGGGGUGGGUUUAAGGGAUAAAGAAGAGUCUGCCAGCCAGGCUAAGAGUGGAAAGUCCAGUCUAGAGGAGCAACAUGUGUAGGAGUCCAGAGGCACAAACAAACACCCUAUUUGGGGAUCGGCAGGUGUUUUUUUAUGUGCGGGGAUGGGUCAUGCCCGUGGCAGAGAGCAAUCAUGACAUGCUGCAGGAAUUUCAAGGGCGACAUUGCCCUCCAGUUCAGUCACCACUAGCCACAUGUGGCUACUUUAAAAUAAUUAGAAUAGGAGUUCCCGUUGCGGGUCAGCGAUAACAAAACAACUGGUAUCCAUGAGGAUGAUCCCUGGCCCCACUCAGUGGGUUAAGGAUCCGGUGUUGCAAUGAGCUGUGGUGUAGGUUGCAGAUGCGGUUCGGAUCUGGUGUUGUGGUGGCUAUGGUGUAGGCUGGCAGCUGCGGCUCUGAUUCGACCCCUAACCUGGGAACUUCCAUAUGCUGCGGGCGAGGCCCUAAAAAGACCAAAAA